rnacentral:rRNA from 1 species
AGUUGUAUCCUGGCUCAGGAUGAACGCUAGCGGUAUGCCUAACACAUGCAAGUCGUACGAGGGUUUCAUACCCAAGUGGCGGACGGGUGAGUAACACGUGAGAAUUUGCCCUAAGGAGGGGGAUAACAACUGGAAACGGUUGCUAAAACCCCAUAUGCUUCCGAGUGAAAUAGAUUUAUCUGCCUUAGGAGAAGCUCGCGGCUGAUUAGCUAGUUGGUAAGGUAAUGGCUUACCAAGGCGACGAUCAGUAUCUGGUUUGAGAGGACGAUCAGACACACUGGAACUGAGACACGGUCCAGACUCCUACGGGAGGCAGCAGUGGGGAAUUUUCCGCAAUGGGCGAAAGCCUGACGGAGCAAUACCGCGUGAAGGAAGACGGCCUAUGGGUUGUAAACUUCUUUUUUCAGGGAGGAACUCAAUGACGUGUACCUGAAGAAUAAGCAUCGGCUAACUCCGUGCCAGCAGCCGCGGUAAGACGGAGGAUGCAAGUGUUAUCCGGAAUCACUGGGCGUAAAGCGUCUGUAGGUGGUUUAAUAAGUCGACUGUUAAAUCUUGAGGCUUAACCUCAAAAUCGCAUUCGAAACUAUUAGACUUGAGUAUAGUAGAGGUAAAGGGAAUUUCCAGUGGAGCGGUGAAAUGCGUAGAUAUUGGAAAGAACACCGAUGGCGAAGGCACUUUACUGGGCUAUUACUGACACUCAGAGACGAAAGCUAGGGUAGCAAAUGGGAUUAGAUACCCCAGUAGUCCUAGCCGUAAACAAUGGNAUACUAGAUGUUGGACAGAUCGACCUGUGCAGUAUCAAAGCUAACGCGUUAAGUAUCCCGCCUGGGAAGUAUGCUCGCANGAGUGAAACUCAAAGGAAUUGACNGGGGGCCCCCCACAAGCGGUGGAGCAUGUGGUUUAAUU